CCCUCUCUCGCCCCCUUUUCCUUGUUUUCACGAACGCGCGUUUUUGGGGCGUAGCCUGGCCCUCUCGGCGCGUCUGCUUUUUUGUUUCAAGAGCGUUCCGGCGCGUGUGGCUGAAACGCAGAGGCUUGAGCAGCGACCUCGUGUUGUCUGACCCUGGGCGACGGCUUGGUAGGUCGGGCUUGUCCCACACCCCCGCCGCCGCCUUGUGGUCCUGCUGGGAGCCGCGCAGGAAAUUUUCUCUUUAAAUUUCGACCUGAGCUCAGGCAAGGCUACCCGCUGAACUUAAGCAUAUCAAUAAGCGGAGUGA
rnacentral:rRNA from 1 species